AGAGUUUGAUCAUGGCUCAGAACGAACGCUGGCGGCAGGCCUAACACAUGCAAGUCGAACGAUAAGCCACCUUCGGGUGGUGGACAGUGGCAGACGGGUGAGUAACGCGUGGGAACGUGCCUUUCGGUCCGGAAUAACCCAGGGAAACUUGGGCUAAUACCGGAUACGCCCUUCGGGGGAAAGAUUCAUUGCCGAAAGAUCGGCCCGCGUCGGAUUAGCUAGUUGGUGGGGUAAUGGCUCACCAAGGCGACGAUCCGUAGCUGGUCUGAGAGGAUGACCAGCCACACUGGGACUGAGACACGGCCCAGACUCCUACGGGAGGCAGCAGUGGGGAAUAUUGGACAAUGGGCGCAAGCCUGAUCCAGCCAUGCCGCGUGGGUGAAGAAGGCCUUAGGGUUGUAAACCCCUUUCAGCGGGGAAGAUAAUGACGGUACCCGCAGAAGAAGUCCCCGGCUAACUCCGUGCCAGCAGCCGCGGUA
rnacentral:rRNA from 1 species